rnacentral:rRNA from 1 species
UCGGGAAUUUUGGGCAAUGGGGGAAAGCCUGACCCAGCAACGCCGCGUGAGGGAUGAAGUAUUUCGGUAUGUAAACCUCGAAAGAAUGGGAAGAAUAAAUGACGGUACCAUUUAUAAGCUCCGGCUAACUACGUGCCAGCAGCCGCGGUAAUACGUAGGGAGCAAGCGUUGUUCGGAUUUACUGGGCGUAAAGGGCGCGUAGGCGGCGCGGUAAGUCACUUGUGAAAUCUCUGAGCUUAACUCAGAACGGCCAAGUGAUACUGCUGUGCUAGAGUGCGGAAGAGGCAACCGGAAUUCUUGGUGUAGCGGUGAAAUGCGUAGAUAUCAAGAGGAACACCUGAGGCGAAGGCGGGUUGCUGGGCCGACACUGACGCUGAUGCGCGAAAGCCAGGGGAGCAAACG